rnacentral:rRNA from 1 species
GCCAGCAGUUGCGGUUAGACAAAUUAUUCAAUAAAAUUUUUUAGGUUAAUAAUUAAUUAUAUAUUAUUAGAUUUUAAAUUAAAUUUUAUUAGGUGAAAUUUUAAUUUUAUUUAUAAAUUAGCAAAUAAUUUUUUGAGGUUAAAAAAUUUAAUAUUUAAACUAGGAUUAGAUACCCUAUUAUUUUAAAUGUGAAUUAUAAUAUACUUGAUUAUUAAAAGUUAUGUUCUUUAAAAUUAAAAAAUUUGGCGGUAUUUUAGUCUUUUCAGAGGAACCUGUUCUAUAAUUGAUAGUCCACGAUUUAAUAUACUUUUAUUUAAAAUUUACAUAUCGUCGUAAUUUAAAUAUUUUUAUAGAAUUUUAAUAUUUAAAAUAUUUUUAAAUAAAAAAUCAGAUCAAGAUGUAGUUUAUAUAAAAGAUUGAAAUGGGUUACAAUAAAAUUAUUUUUGGAUUAUUAUAUGAAAAAAAAUAUGAAUUUGGAUUUGAAAGUAAAAUUAUUAAAAUUAUUAAUUGAUAGCCCUGC